rnacentral:lncRNA from 1 species
UGUAGAGAACCCUGGGCAGGCUUGCCAUCUCUCAUCAGGACUCGCAAAGCUUCGCAUUGUUCACCGCAACAGAAAGCAAACGUACGAUCCUUGAAUACAAUACUUUGUAAGUCGAACAGUAAACAAUGCAAUUCAGUCGUUGUGCCAAUUAGUUGCUGGAAGAGAUCAAGUGAGUAAAACGCACACUACAGCAUGGACGGGUACAGAGGGCCUCCAGGCAUGUUUCAAAUGGGUCCACCAGGGAUGAUGGGUCCACCUAUGGGCCCCGGAAUGAUGUCGGGAAUGAUGCACCCUGGCAUGGAUUUUCCUUUCCAACAGGUACAUCAAGAUAUACUCGGUGAAAGUGACGCAAUUGGAACCAAUACACGAAUAAUGGUACUCCGAGUGCUGUGGUAACUAAGCAAUAUUCUUGGAUCAUGACAUGAAGGGGAUGGAGGGGCCUGGGAUGGAGGGACCUGCGUGGAAGAGGCAGAGGAUGGACCCGGACAGGGGCCUUGGCGAAGGACCGGGAGCAUCUCGGCAAGAUUCUGUCUUCUACAAG